rnacentral:rRNA from 1 species
CAGCCGCCGCGGGAAAACGUAGGUGGCAAGCGUUGUCCGGAAUUAUUGGGCGUAAAGGGCUCGCAGGCGGUUUCUUAAGUCUGAUGUGAAAGCCCCCGGCUCAACCGGGGAGGGUCAUUGGAAACUGGGAAACUUGAGUGCAGAAGAGGAGAGUGGAAUUCCACGUGUAGCGGUGAAAUGCGUAGAGAUGUGGAGGAACACCAGUGGCGAAGGCGACUCUCUGGUCUGUAACUGACGCUGAGGGGCGAAAGCGUGGGGAGCGAACAGGAUUAGAUACCCCUGUAGUCCCUGUCUCUUAUAC